UACGUAGGGUGCAAGCGUUAAUCGGAAUACUGGGCGUAAAGCGUGCGCAGGCGGUUUUGUAAGUCUGUCGUGAAAGCCCCGGGCUCAACCUGGGAAUUGCGAUGGAGACUGCAAGGCUUGAAUCUGGCAGAGGGGGUAGAAUUCCACGUGUAGCAGUGAAAUGCGUAGAGAUGUGGAGGAACACCGAUGGCGAAGGCAGCCCCCUGGGUCAAGAUUGACGCUCAUGCACGAAAGCGUGGGGAGCAAACAGG
rnacentral:rRNA from 1 species